rnacentral:rRNA from 1 species
ANGGGGGGACCUGAAUAAGGUUGCCCGAUGACGGUACCGGGAGAAUAAGCCACGGCUAACUCUGUGCCAGCAGCCGCGGUAAGACAGAGGUGGCAAGCGUUGUUCGGAGUUACUGGGCGUAAAGAGUCUGUAGGUGGUCUGUCAAGUCUUUGGUGAAAGGCCGUGGCUUAACCAUGGGAAUGCCAAAGAGACUGGCAGACUGGAGGCUGGGAGAGGGAAGCGGAAUUUCUGGUGUAGCGGUGAAAUGCGUAGAUAUCAGAAGGAAGGCCGGUGGCGAAGGCGGCUUCCUGGAACAGACCUGACACUGAGAGACGAAAGCGUGGGGAGCAAACAGGAUUAGAUACCCUGGUAGUCCACGCCCUAAACGAUGGGUACUAAGUGUGGGAGGGUUAA